rnacentral:rRNA from 1 species
GACGAACGCUGGCGGCGUGCUUAACACAUGCAAGUCGAACGGAAAGGCCCUGCUUUUGUGGGGUGCUCGAGUGGCGAACGGGUGAGUAACACGUGAGUAACCUGCCCUUGACUUUGGGAUAACUUCAGGAAACUGGGGCUAAUACCGGAUAGGAGCUCCUGCUGCAUGGUGGGGGUUGGAAAGUUUCGGCGGUUGGGGAUGGACUCGCGGCUUAUCAGCUUGUUGGUGGGGUAGUGGCUUACCAAGGCUUUGACGGGUAGCCGGCCUGAGAGGGUGACCGGCCACAUUGGGACUGAGAUAAGGCCCAGACUCCUACGGGAGGCAGCAGUGGGGAAUAUUGCAAAAUGGGCGGAAGCCUGAUGCAGCAACGCCGCGUGCGGGAUGAAGGCCUUCGGGUUGUAAACCGCUUUCGCCUGUGACGAAGCGUGAGUGACGGUAAUGGGUAAAGAAGCACCGGCUAACUACGUG